AAGCGCUUGCAAUCAGACUUGCUCGCGGUUGAUCAGCCGGGGUUCUCCCCGGUGCACUCUGCCGCGGUCAGGCCAGCAUCAGUUCGGGCGGACGGAUAAAGGCCGCGGGAAUGUAGCUCCCUUCGGGGAGUGUUAUAGCCCGCGGUGUCAUGCGUCCAGCCUGGACUGAGGACCGCGCUUCGGCUAGGAUGCUGGCGUAAUGGUUGUAAGCGA
rnacentral:rRNA from 1 species